AUCCAUCUGACGAGUCCGAAAUAGGACGAAACACGUCCUGGAU
rfam:Schistosoma mattheei strain Denwood, Zambia genome assembly, scaffold: SMTD_scaffold0009963